rnacentral:rRNA from 1 species
AGAGAGUGACGGGCGAUGUGUACACACUUCAGAGCUCAUUUCAAUUAAAAAUAUUAUUAUUAAUUUACUACUAAAUCCACCUUCACAAAUAUUUACCCGCUUUGAUCCGUAUAAUUAUAAUUUAUUGUAACCCACUACCCCCAUGAAUAUAAGCUGCACCUUGACCUGAAGUCCUAGUAUAACAACUGAUUAGAUUAUAUUCUUUAAAAAUAAUCAGACAACGGCGGUAUACAAACUGAAAACAAAUUCAUGUGCAUUAAAUCGUGGAUUAUCGAUCCAGGAGCAGGUUCCUCUAGUAAGAAUGAAGUACCGCCAAAUUCUUUAGGUUUAAAAAAUUUUACUACCCAAGCAAAUAAUUUAAUAAAGAAUAAUAGGGUAUCUAAUCCUAGUCUAAAACCUUAUUUUUAAAGAUUAUGUAUUUCCUUAAAAUUUUUCAUUUAAAAAUUUAAAGAUUUUACUCUUAAUUUUCUAUUUAAAAAAUUAAAUCAAAAAUAAUAAUUUACUUAAUUCCACUAAUAUAUUUUAUUUAAAUCUUUCGUGUAACC